rnacentral:rRNA from 1 species
AACGAACGCUGGCGGCAUGCCUAACACAUGCAAGUCGAACGAGACCUUCGGGUCUAGUGGCGUACGGGUGCGUAACGCGUGGGAACCUGCCCUUAGGUUCGGAAUAACUCCCCGAAAGGGGUGCUAAUACCGGAUAAUGUCUUCGGACCAAAGAUUUAUCGCCUUUGGAUGGGCCCGCGUUGGAUUAGCAAGUUGGUAGGGUAAAAGCCUACCAAGGCGACGAUCCAUAGCUGGUCUGAGAGGAUGAUCAGCCACACUGGGACUGAGACACGGCCCAGACUCCUACGGGAGGCAGCAGUGGGGAAUAUUGGACAAUGGGCGAAAGCCUGAUCCAGCAAUGCCGCGUGAGUGAUGAAGGCCUUAGGGUUGUAAAGCUCUUUUACCCGGGAUGAUAAUGACAGUACCGGGAGAAUAAGCUCCGGCUAACUCCGUG